rnacentral:misc_RNA from 1 species
GAUGAAGAACGUAGCGAAAUGCGAUAAGUAAUGUGAAUUGCAGAAUUCAGUGAAUCAUCGAAUCUUUGAACGCACCUUGCGCUCCUUGGUAUUCCGAGGAGCAUGCCUGUUUGAGUGUCAUUAAUAUAUCAACCUUCUCUUUUUUGGGUUGUUUGGAUGUGGGGGUUUGCUGGCCUCUUAAAUGAUUCAGCUCCCCUGAAAUGCAUUAGCAGAACAACCUGUUCAUUGGCGUGAUAAUUAUCUAUGCUAUUGAAUGUGAGGGCAGUUCAGCUUUCUAACCGUCCUUGGACAAUUCAUCAUUAAUGUGACCUCAAAUCAGGUAGGACUACCCGCUGAACUUAAGCAUAUCAAUAAGCGGAGA